GCAACAGUGGCAAUCUAGCCAUCCAGGUUGAAUGAAGUUCAAGUUUGCUUAACUUAUCACAUUUAUUAUUUAAUUUUCUAUAGUAGUCGGAUCGCAUAUUAUAAAUAAUGUUCAAACGUCCGCAGAUGUAUGAAUAUAUUUGGAACACCGAUUUACGUUUAGUUGGAUGUUAAAUAACUAAAAUACUUUCUACUUAAGUAUUUUAUAAACAUGAGUGUCCAGGGACGUCUUGCAUUUAUUACUGGCGCAGGCUCUGGGAUAGGUAGGGCGGCAUCCCAAUGUUUAGCCAGAGAAGGAGCAAUAGUAAUAGCUGCAGAUAAAAAUGUCGAAAAUGCCAAAGAGACUGUAAACCUAUUACCAAAAGACAACAAACAUACCCCAUUGCAAUUGUCCGUUGAGAACAAGGAUAGCGUUAAAUUGGCCUUGGAUACUGUAAUCAAAGCUUACUUAAAACCACCAAGCAUUAUUGUGAAUGCUGCUGGUAUAACUAGAGAUAAUUUCCUUAACAAACUAUCCGAAGAAGAUUUUUCUGAAGUUUUGGAUGUAAAUUUAAAGGGCACCUUUUUAAUUCUCCAAACAUUUGCAAAUUCGAUUGUUGAAAAUAAUGUGCAAGAGGCCUCAAUAAUAAAUGUUGGCAGCAUAGUUGCAAAGUAUGGAAAUAUAGGUCAAGCAAAUUACUGUGCGAGCAAAGCAGGUGUUGAAUUAUUAACUAAAGUGGCAUCAAGGGAAUAUAGCAAAAAGGGCAUAAGGGUAAAUACUGUUUUACCUGGUAUGAUUUCUACUCCUAUGACCGCUGCAGUUCCAGAAAAAGUUAAAGCUAAAUUUUUAACUCAAAUACCACUUGGGCGAUUUGGCACACCUGAAGGCCAAUAAAAUUUUGAGUGUUAAAUACUAAUUAUGGAUCUUAAAUGUUCGUCUGUAUCGAGGAAAAUCAACUUUGAUUUUUUCUAAAACUAUUGUCUAUAGUCGAUUCGGUGUAGUUUGCAAAUUACAGUUUUAAAUCGUUAGUAUGGAAUAGUCGGAGAAGUCAUAAUUUGGUCUUCACAUCUGUUUUCUAGUAUGAAUUUAUACGACGAAGAAUAGAUAGAAUAAAUUAAGAAGCAGGUGAAAGAAAUUGCAGAAGUCAUUUUGUUUCUGGCGUCAUGUAGAAGUUCUUACGUGACAGGUACAUCUAUAGAAGUAACAGGGGGAUUUUAACCAACUGUGCCAAUUGUCUUCUGACAUAUGCGGUAAAAAUUACUCUUUGAUAAUUAUAUGUUAAAUUGAUAAAUAAAAUAAAGCCAGGUUACUUGUAUCUACUG
rnacentral:misc_RNA from 1 species